rnacentral:tRNA from 1 species
ACCCGACUGGCGCAAUGGUAGCGCGUCAGACUUCUAAUCUGAAGGCUGUGGGUUCGACCCCCACGUUGGGUU